CCAUAUCACGUUGAAACACCGGUUCUCGUCCGAUUACAGAAGUUAAGCAAUAUCAAGCCUGGUCAGUACCUAGAUAGGUGACUGUUUCGGAAUACCAGGUGUUGUAAG